rnacentral:rRNA from 1 species
UACGUAGGGUGCAAGCGUUGUCCGGAAUUAUUGGGCGUAAAGAGCUCGUAGGCGGUUUGUCGCGUCUGCUGUGAAAAACUCGGGGCUUAACCCCGGGCCUGCAGUGGGUACGGGCAGACUAGAGUGCGGUAGGGGGAGACUGGAAUUCCUGGUGUAGCGGUGAAAUGCGCAGAUAUCAGGAGGAACACCGGUGGCGAAGGCGGGUCUCUGGGCCGUAACUGACGCUGAGGAGCGAAAGCGUGGGGAGCGAACAGG